rnacentral:rRNA from 1 species
GACGAACGCUGGCGGCGUGCUUAACACAUGCAAGUCGAACGGUAAGGCCCUUCGGGGUACACGAGUGGCGAACGGGUGAGUAACACGUGGGUGAUCUGCCCUGCACUUCGGGAUAAGCCUGGGAAACUGGGUCUAAUACCGGAUAGGACCCUGGGAUGCAUGUCCUGGGGUGGAAAGCUUUUGCGGUGUGGGAUGGGCGCGCGGCCUAUCAGCUUGUUGGUGGGGUGAUGGCCGACCAAGGCGACGACGGGUAGCCGGCCUGAGAGGGUGACCGGCCACACUGGAGCUGGGAUCCGGCCCGGACUGCGACGGGAGGCAGCAGUGGGGAAUAUUGGACAAUGGGCGCAAGCCUGAUGCAGCGACGCCGCGUGAGGGAUGACGGCCUUCGGGUUGUAAACCUCUUUCAGCACCGACGAAGCGCAAGUGACGGUAGGUGCAGAAGAAGGACCGGCCAACUACGUGCCAGCCGCCGCGGUAA